GAACGGAGGGAAAAGGAUUAUGCGCUUAGAUAUCUUAGAAGAAAAAUAACGGUAAACAGAAUGAUAUGAUUCGUUAUUAAUAAGUUAUGACGUUAUGAACGUCGAGUAAGAUACUUGGGGGCGGAAACAAUUCGCGAGAAAUUCAGAGAGUAGGGGUAAAAGAUAAUCGAAAGUGGGGUAACGAACAAGACUAUAAAUUCGUAAAAAUUAUUAGUUCGACGAUCUGACUGACAAAGUGUGUUACGGACAGGAACUAAUAGUUUAAGCGUAAGUUCAAAUAAAUUAUUUCAUUUUAGAAGUUAGAAAUUAAUUGUUAGUUAAAUUUUAAUAUUUGAGUUUGAAGUAAAGAGAGGAACAGAGAUUUACCUAUGUUUGUAUAUGACUUUGUGUAUUUCACUAUUUAUAAGAAAUCUAAACUGUUAUAUUAUUUUUGAAAGGGAGUCAAUAACCUUUGACUGUUUCGAUGUGAUAUAUACAUAAGCUUACAUAAAGAAAGAAGAAGAAAUCGAUUCAAAGUUUUUACAUCGUAAAAAUUUUUAUUUCUGAGAAGAGCAGCAUCUACAUUCUGUAGAAGAGAUAUAUUCAAUGGAAUUUUCUCGAUCAUCGAAAAUGAAAAUAGUUGAUUCUUUUUAAUAAUAGAGAAAAACAUCAUUGCAGUACAAGAAGAACGAUUCUGAAAUUCUGUUGGACAAAUAUAUUAGGAUUCUGUAUCUUUUUUAAGAUUUUUUGAAGAAAAGACAGCAGUAUCAUCCAGAAAGUCUGCAGAAUAGAAUUCAAUCUACGUUCCAUUUUCAAGGAUAGUAAUAUCAAUUAAUAUAUAUAUAGAUUAUCGAUAUUAUUUAUGGAAUAUUGAUCUAUCACUAAUGGAAACUGGUGAAUAAUGCUACAUGAUACAGAUGUUAGCUACAUGAUAUAGAUUUAGAUUGUGACGAACUGAAUUUAAGUAGAAUGAAUUAAUCAACAUUUGUCUAAUCAUAAUAACGAUUAGAGUAAUAUUCAAGUUUUACCUAAAUAUUGGAAUAAAUGGAUUCACUGAAAUAAGAGUUAGGAAAGUUUUAACAAUGUAACAAUCGUACUUCACCUACACCCGUGAAGAUAUCGAAAGUGAAAGAUUCGAAAAGUAUAGGUUUCAUAUAUCACAAGUAAAUUCUCAAGAAUAACAUGUCGAUGCCAAGAAUGUCAAUUUAUUGUUGUAGUUAAAUAUGAAUCGUUGAAACACAGCUGAUAGCUAAUAAUAGUUGACAACCCACAAAAAAAGUUUAAAACGCCUAUUCGGGAUACGAUCAAUGUUUGGAAUAUUAUCUGGGAAAUUAUUUCAUUAAAAAACUAUUCAAAUGUGAUAGAUGUUCU